CUACUUGUCACUGCUGUCGCUCUCUGCCUGUGAGUGCCCGAGGUGAAUUGGUCCAGCAUCUCUGCGCAGGCAGUGGGGCCAAUGUAGAUGUAAAAAUAUAAUUUGAAAAUAUGUAAUCGUGGAAUAAGUUUUCGGCGUUGGCAGCUUGCGAUGAGGGAAGGGAAAUAUGGAAAAGAUCGGAUUUUAUGUUGCGCCUCUGUGGAGCACGGACCGUUAUAUUGAGAGAAAUAAUGCGGAAUAUUUCCCCCUGUAGGUGUUAACGCAGAAAAUACAAGAUGAAGAAGCAGUUCAAUCGGAUGCGACAGCUCGCCAACCAAACGGUGGGAAGGGCAGAAAAAACAGAGGUGUUAAGUGAGGAUCUUCUACAGGUGGAGAAGCGUCUGGAUCUGGUCAAGCAGGUGACACACAGCACUCACAAAAAGCUGACUGCCUGCCUGCAGGGUCAGCAAGGGACUGAUGUGGAGAAGAGAUCUGUCAAGUCACCUUCUAAAAAACUACCGCUCACCAUCCUGGCACAAUGUAUGGUAGAGGGGGCUGCAGUGUUGGGGGAUGACUCUCUCCUGGGGAAGAUGCUGAAGCUGUGUGGGGACACAGAAGAGAAGUUGGCCCAGGAGCUCAUCCAGUUUGAGUUUGAGAUAGAGAAAGAUGUGGUAGAGCCUCUCUAUGUGCUUGCUGAGGUGGACAUUCCCAACAUCCAGAAACAGAGGAAGCACUUAGCUAAACUUGUUUUGGACAUGGACUCUUCUCGAACAAGAUUUCAGCAGUCGUCCAAGUCAUCCAGUCACCCGAGCACACUGCAGCCAGGCGCCAAGUCAGAGUCCCUCAGAGAGGAGAUGGAGGAAGCAGCCAAUCGGAUGGAGAUUUGCAGGGAUCAAUUGUCAGCAGAUAUGUACAGUUUUGUGGCCAAAGAAAUAGACUAUGCAAAUUACUUCCAGACACUGAUAGAAACGCAAGCAGAAUAUCACAGGAAGUCAUUAGAGAUUCUUCACAGUAUCCUGCCCCAGAUUAAAGCUCACCAAGAGGCGUGGGUGGAGAAGCCGUCGUUUGGCAAGUCUCUGGAGGAACACCUGAAUAUAAGUGGGAGAGAGAUUGCCUUCCCCAUCGAAGCUUGUGUCACAGUGCUGUUAGAGUGUGGCAUGCAAGAGGAGGGCCUCUUCAGAGUGGCUCCGUCAGCCUCCAAGCUAAAGAAGCUGAAAGCAUCCCUGGACUGUGGAGUUCUGGAUGUGCAGGAGUACUCCGCCGACCCACACGCCAUUGCAGGGGCUCUGAAAUCAUACCUCCGUGAGCUCCCCGAGCCACUGAUGACCACUGAACUUUAUGAUGAAUGGAUUCAGGCCUCCAACAUUCAAGAUAUGGACAAGAGACUACAAGCAUUACUGGCAGCGUGUGAAAAACUCCCCACAGACAAUGCAAACAAUUUCAGAUAUCUAAUCAAAUUCUUAGCCAAGCUAAGUGACUACCAAGAUGAAAACAAGAUGACUCCCGGUAAUAUGGCGAUUGUUCUUGGCCCUAACUUGCUUUGGACACACACUGAACCAAACAUGACAGAGAUGAUGACCACCCUGUCCCUACAGAUUGUUGGCAUCAUUGAGCCCAUUAUCCAGCAUGCUGACUGGUUCUUCCCUGGAGAGAUUGAAUUCAACUUGACAGGCAGCUACGGCAGCCCGAUCCACACCAACCACAACUCCAACUACAGCUCCAUGCCCUCACCAGACAUGGACCAAUCUGAUCGCAAGCAGCAGCACGACCAGAGCCGACGCCCACUGAGCGUCGCCACUGACAACAUGAUGCUGGAGUUUUACAAGAAGGAUGGCAUUAGGAAGAUACAAAGUAUGGGCGUCCGGGUUAUGGAUACCUCCUGGGUGUCUCGUAAGGGUUCAACUACGCUGGCGCGCAAGACCUCCUCUACCCCUCCAGGCAUGCAAGGCCCUAGCUCCCCGGCAGACACUCUCAUCUCCGAGCAGCCCGGAGAGCUCGCCAUCUCCCCAUCCGCGACACCGCCACCUGGAGAGAGGGUUUGCUCAGACAACGUGUCGCCCAAUCGGCCGGACACCUCUCAUGCCCAUCCACCCCCAGGGGAGGACCGGCCACCCCCCCCUUACCCCAUCUCCUCGUGCUACACUGCCCCCCACCUCUUCUAUCCCAAACCCCCACCCUGCGCUCGCCCCGUGGCACCGGGUCCAGAGUCCCAGCCUCCCGCCUCCCCCCCGCCCCCACUGCGCUGGUCUGGCUUCACUCCCCCUGCCCCGCCCCCUUCCUCCUCUUCUUCUUCCUCCUCCUCGUCACUUGACAUCAAUUCGAACCCCAAACCCAGCUGUCUGCAUUUCCCCAAGCACAGCCCGCCUGGUGACAUGGUGAAUGUUCCCCCACCAGACACUAAUGCUUCAUCACUGUACAUCAAAACCCCCUUGGUACUAACCCGCCAUGACCAGUCCAUUGGCAACCCCCCUAACCUCCCUUCGUCCGCGCCCCCGCCGUGGGCUGCCUGUCCAUGUGCCCGAGAGAGAGGACCCCCCAGACUGACUAGUUCAUUGAAGAGUAAAGAGCUCUCACCUGUAACCGGACACAAAGCCAUCCAGGUGGCAGGUCCAACAGUCCCUCCCAGCUGUAGUCCUCAGAGCAGUAGCCAGUCCCCCCACUCCACAGAGCACAGUCCACACACCCUGCGCCAAGGUUCCAAGAAGUUGGCCCCUGUGCCUCCCAAGGUCCCUUACAGCCAGUCUUGCGGGAUGUCCGACCAGUCCACAGGUCAGCCGUCACCAGUCAGCCUGUCCCCCACACCUCCUAGCACCCCCUCCCCUUAUGGACUGGCCUGCCCUCCAGGGCAAGUGCCCCCAUCAUCCCCUGGGCAGACCCCAUUGGGAGCACCUCACUCUCUUUCGUCUCCACCCUCCCUGACUGGAACGCUCACCAAGUCGCGGCCCGCCCCUAAGCCCAGGCAGAGACCCAGUCUGCCCCCUCCUCAGCCGCCCACAGCCCCUCCGGGGUUUACUGGCAUGGCCAUGGCCCCAAUUCCCCAGCCCCUGGAGCAGGGCCUCCUGGAUGGACUGUCUCCCGGGGAGAGCAUGUCUACAGGUAAACAUCAACCCUUCGCAACAUCCCCUCCGCCACCACAGGUGGGGCUACAGAGGCCCUCUCUCAGACUUGCUGUGGCUCUGUCCAAUGGAGACGGUGGACGAGUGUAGGACUCUGUAGGACCUGUCACUGUAGAUAUAAAAGAUACCUUUCCCCUUUAUUGACUGUUCCCAAACGAAUGUCUGAAUGAAUAAAAGUUGCCUUUUAGACACAGAUGCCUGAGAAUGAUGUAAAUAUUAGCAUUCUGUGCUACUGUAGUGAGCCAAUCUCCUUGACCUAUGUAUUCAUUGCUUGUGUUAUGUGAUGAUGUUUCUGGGUAAUGUGUGGAAACAUCAGAGAAGCAUAGCUCGUCCUGCUUGUAUGGAAGUUGCCAUUAGAUUCAUCAUGUGCUCUCUGUUUAUCUGUGUUACCCAGACCCUCACUUGGCAGAGGUAGGUCAGAGGCUUACACACCAGUCCAGUCUCUCUUACUGCGUAGCAGUCGUGGAAACCUAGCCAGACAAACCCCACACUAUAUCUACAGUAUGAUGUUCUGAUGAUGAGGUGUUCUGUCAUUAUAUACCAAUCAUUCUGUCACUUUGCUAUAUUUAUCAUUCUCUCUCCCCCUGCUACUAUUGUGUACCUUGCAGCUGUGUGAGGCCAGGGAUUCAGUGGGGGCUAAGUGUGAGGGGGACUUUUAGGAUAUCUUCAAUUAUGAAAUCCCCUCCAUCAAUGUCAAUCUGGACUGCCUCAUCGAUGAGUUCAGCGGUGCCCCUUGCAGGAGGUCCGUGGCACUGACAGACUAUCCAGAGGGGGACGUUGUGCCUGAGGAGGAGCCACAGAGCACCACUCUAUGACCUAUGACCCUAAGGCAUCACAGCUUACAAGCACCCCUGUGGCCGUAUAUAUUCUUUAACUGUCGCCACCAUGGCCUGAUGGAAAAACCAUUUGGCCUCACCAAUGCCCACCUGAAAUCAGAACUCGAACACAUCUGCUAAAGGCUGCAAAGAAAUUCAUCUCUUACAAUUGCUCGCUAGUACACAAAUGUGACUACAACACAAAAAAAGACACCAAAAUGCCAUAGGAGGACAGUUGCCUUUAGGAGGAAAGACUGGAAUAUAGAUGAGUAUUACAUUCAAAGUUAUGUUUUUUAAUGCUUUGCUUUGUUCAUCUUUGUUUGAUACAGUGGUCUGUAUUUCUGUGAGUUUUUCAAUUUUUAUUUUUGCCUUAUUAGGACAUGCAAUCAAAUUGCAAUAUGAUAUUCACAAGUUGUACAACUUUUGGUAGGGGGAACUCAGAGCCUGACAUGGUUAGGAGCAAAGCCCGUCCUCAGGGUGAAACAGAGAGACAGAGAGUAGUCUUGUUAUUUUGCUCACAGGGUAUUCAAGCUUUGUGCACAUUAGGAAAAUGCUGAGCCGUAGAGACAGGUUUUGCAUGCAGGAUGAAACGUUUAAUGCAGUUUACUUCUUAUUGUCACACUCUUUACUUCCUCUCUUCUAUCACAUAUUACAACUGUAGUUCUUUAUCUGACAUUAACCUUCAUACAGGUAAGCUCACUUUAACUCACUUUAUACCAGCACAGAAUGAGAAGAAUGUUACUGUAAAUUCUUUUUUUGCAAAUGCACCACAAUGUGUUUGCAUGACAUGCCAAUAUGAACAAACUGCUUUGGAUCAAGGGCCUCAGAAAGGCAGUGUUUUAUUUUGUGUGAGUGUCUGUUGUUGUUGUUGUCAGUGAAGAGUAAAUUUAGACCACCCACGUGCUGUUACAGUUUGAUGAUAAUGGAUGAAUGACUACACUGCCUUUAGGUUCGUAUGAUUCUCUCUCUUAAUCUUGUUUCAAGUGCUUCAGGUUCAGUAACCUUUGACCCCCUAGUGUAAAUACAAAGACUGUACAUAAAUUUAUGUAUAUAAAUCUGAGAGGAAAAGUAUAUGUAAAAUGCAUAUCUUGAAUAUAUAUAUAUAUAUAUAUAUAUAUAUAUAUAUAUAUAAUAAUAAUAUAUGUGCUGAUAUUUAUCAUGUGUAGAAAAUGUAAUGAUUAAAAGAUUGCUGUUAUUUUUGUCCCUGCACACAAUGAACAGGUUUACUAUAGAUUCAUAAUGUUUCACCAGAUAACAAUGAUGCUGCAGCAGAAAUGCAGAAUGUUAUUUCUGCUAAAAAUCAAUUGUGGGUUUUCUAAUUCUGUGUCCUGAGCUUUGACUUCUAACACUCUUAAGCGCUAAUGAGUUCUUCUUUUUUUCUUUUAAUCAGUUAUUUAAUAGAUUCCUGUGUAAAUAAUUAGAUUACUUUUAGCACACUCUGACCAUUUAAUUAAUUCAUAAUAAGGAUAAAUGUAGUCGUAAGCCUAUAUUGUUGGACUGACUACAAAUAUAUAUACUUGUUCAAUUAGAAAAGCAGAUGUCAAAUUUGGCACAAAGUUAACAAUGAGUGCGUACUGUGUUGUUAUUCUCACCACAGACAAUUAAUCAGAGGUUUUUCAAGUUCACCAGAGAACAGAUGCUGCAGUGUCACUUUUUUAAUUCCAUAUAAAAUGUCUUAGGACUAUAAUUUUGUCAAUAAAAGUGCAAUUACAGUGUUUACUGAUCCACCUCAGUCCAAAAAAUGGUCAAAGUCACCCUUACCAAACCUACAGAAAAAAGCCAUUCAUUUUAUUGCGAAGCAAUUCAUUUCUUUUCCAGUUUGUUUUAUGUGUGAGUUUACGUUUGACUAAAUUAAUUCUGGAUCAACCUUUCUACAAAAGGGAUCUAUGGUAUGCCUCAGUGUGUGUUCUCAAUGGACUAUGUUUAUGAAGAUUUUGGUGAUGUUGAUAAUUAUAUUGAUAGUUGUGGUGAUUAUAUGACAGCAAUUGCAAGUGCCCUCACUCUGGUUGUUAUUUUGGAACUAUAGGCAUAAUUAAUGUGUAAUGGAGGUUUUAUUUUCUGUGCUGGAUCCAUACAUUUAUACGAGGAGGCAAGGGUAUAUCUCUCUGUGUGCAGACUGAAUGUGACUCAGAUUUCGGUAGGCUACCUGAUUUUGUAAUAACUAACAGGCAAAUGAAAGCUUGUAUUUGGAUGAAGGUUAGUUAGGGCCUGUUAGCAUGUAUUAUUAUCAUUGCAGGGCAGUAUUACUGUAAUGCUUUUGUGCAUCAUAACUGGAACUUACAGCCACUUAAAAGCAUGCAUUCAUAUUCAUUCUAGGUGUAAUUAUUAUGCUGCUUAAAAGAAGUAAAAAAAAACAACAACUCUGUACCCUCCCCCAAAUCAUAAUUUCAUCACAUAUCAUUUAUUCCAGUAAAUUAACUUUACAGCAAUUUUCAUUAGCGUAUUCAUUUACCAAAUGUUACACUGUUACAUAGUUUUAUCAAUCAUUUUAACUGUAGACCUACAUUUCCUAACUCACCUCACCAUCAAGUAUGUUGGUCUAAAGUAAAGCUCAAUUUGUUUACAUUUUGUGGGGGGGAUUUUAAACGAAAAAAGGAAAAUCUGAAAAAGUGUGAUGCAUGCGCUUAGAUAGUCUUUUGAUAAUCAACGUUUUGUGUCAAUCACUGUCUUUUUAGGGAUUCUAAGAGGGGUAAGAUGUGGACUCAGAAUGAGAAUGUGGAUCACAAUAAAUAGUCCUUUGUUGGGUAUUGAGCAAUACGUUAGAGGAGUGGAUGUUGCCUGUGGAUGUACUGCCUCCUUCUGCUUUCACUAGUGUACAAAUAAAAUCUGCCGCUUGUCAAGCCCACCAUGCCCAGCCCUUCCUCCUCUGCUUAGCAUAUCAAGUGGAACACAGUGUGUACUGUGAAGCCUACCCGCAAUCCUUAUCAGAAUGUCAGAAAUAAAUAUAUAUUAAACUCUACAUUUUUAAUAAUCUCA